rnacentral:rRNA from 1 species
UGAUAGAAUUUCUCUUAAAUUCAUGAUGUCGUAAGGGAAAAUAAUGAUAUUACCUUACUAUAAGUGUCGUCCAAACCUGGUGCCAGAAGACUCGGUAAGACCAGAGACGCAAACGUUAAUCAUCUUAAACAGGCGUAAAGGGUUUGUAGGCAGCUUUCAUAAUAUUAUUUCUUACAAAAAUAAAGAAGUGGUCUGAUUGAAAGCUAGAAUCAAAAAGAGGUUAUAGUGUAUAACGCCUAGAGGAGGGCUGAUAUCCUUAGAUCCUAGGCAGAAUACUUAGGGCGAAGGCCACUCUCCACUAAUGAUUGACGCUGAGAAACGAAGGUAAGGGUAGGAAAUAGGAUUAGAUACCCCGGUACUCCUUUCUGUAAACGAUGAAUGGUAGUCAUUAGUAAAAUUAACUAGAGACGAAGUUAACACAAUAACCAUUCCGCCUUGUGAGUACUACUGCAAAGUAGAAAACAAAAAAAUUAGUCGGUCUCGAAGCAAACGGAGUGAAGCAUGUUAUUUA